rnacentral:lncRNA from 1 species
UAGUCCUAAGGAACCAGAUUCUCAUUCUCACCACUCAGCAUGUCCAGCAGGUAUCACUUCCACUUCUCGUCCAUCAUCUUCGUGGGUGAUUGACUCUGGAGCCUCCCAUCACAUGAUGGGCUCUUCCUCGGACUUCCAUUCUCUUCGCAAUUUUUCUAGCCAUAGUUUUUGGUAGGAACGGCUAAUGGAGCUUCAGUUCCUGUUCAAGGAGUUGGUUCUAUUUCCUUUCCCUCUAUCUCUCUUCCUAGUGUUUUUCAUGUUCCCGGUCUUGACAAGAACCUUUUUUCAGUUAAUCAACUGUGUAAGUCUCUUAAUUGCAGUGCAACCUUAUUUUCUUCUCCUUCAACUAAGAAAGGUGUUUCAGGACCGGAAGGAUGAUUGGUUCGGGUAAGGAAAAAGGGGGCAUCUACAUUCUUGACACCGGGCAAAUUUUGAGUCACUCGGCUACUACUACUAUUUGUUCGGUACCUCUCAACACAUGGCAUAAGCCACUUGGACACGUGAUCUUUCGGCGUCUUCAUUCCAUGGCUGAAUAGGGACUUUUUUGAACUCUACCUACCUAGUUUUGCAAAAGAUGUUUUUGAUCAAUGUACUACAGGGUGGAAAAUAACCUUUUACCAACAAAUCAGUUCAUUGUAAUAGAAAUUUUGAGUUAAUUCAUACGGAUGUUUGGGGACCUGCUCCCGUGUUGUCUCAUUCAAAGCUCCAUCGAAGAACAUGGUCCAGAAAGGAUCAGAUUCUCCAUACUCAAUGUUAGUGUAAAAGACUUCU